AAUGCCAGGACUGGGGACCUGUGCAACAGGGGCUUGGGCCAACAGCACCUGUCCUGGGGAGAGUCACAGAUGCCCGUGGUGGCUGCGUGCCAAGGACACCGAAUUCUCGCCCAAGUGACCCCUUGGGCUUCCAUUAAAAGACAGCUAGCCAGUGCAACGAAUCCAAUAGAUAAAACAGUUUAAAAGGUUUCUCAACUUAGCGUUUUGUGAAAACAUUACAGGCAGGAAAGUGAAGAUGACAUUUCUGGCGAAAUCUUGCUAAGUGUGGUGGCGGCGUUUCCAUUUAUAAUCUCUCAAAACUGAACAGCGAGCACGUUCCGCCACCUCACCAAGAGUCCAGCCCUCUCUGAAUUUCCCUCAGCCAGAAGUGCCAAGUUAAAAAAAAGCUGCAGAAACGUCCCCGGAGAGGAGCCGGCGGCCCUCGUUUCCGCAGAGGGUACCCCAGGAAGGUUUACGCUCAAGGCACUAAGUGCCGCCCGGGACAGAGUCGGAUUUUCAGUUUUAACUGAUCUCCAGGUACACGGGCUGCGGUUCCGACUCCCCAACACUUACCCGCCGGGGCCCGUUUCAGAUCCUCCUAGGAGCUCAGGGUCGCCGCGCGGCGCCGGAGGGGCAGGGUGGACGAAGGGGAAGCCCGCGCGCUCUUGCCAUCCCGCCUGACACCUGAGCCCACGGCGAGCAUGCCCCGACAUCGCGGAAAGAGCGCCCAGGUCCCUUCCUCGAGGCACGGCGUCGCCACCCACAGCAUGGGCGCUCCUGCAAUGUUCCCGGAACAAGUGGACACUCAAAAGUAGGACACAGGAGCGCCCGUGGCACACAAGGUUGCAAGGUUGAGCACUGCAGCUCUGCCUCCUGUUGGUGAAGACUGCAGUGGAUGACCCCCCACAAACUUGGGGCUGAUAUGAGCACCAGGAUACAGGAACCAUGUGGGGUGAUGGGCACAGAAGGCCUCUACCUCUCCUGCAUGGUAAGGAGAGGACAAAGGGAGAUGGGAGAAAAUGCAGCCCUAGCAGACCUUGAGGGCAGGCCGGGAGAAGAGAGACUUGGCCAGAGCAAAGGAGCAGUGGCAGGAGGGCAGGCCCUGCCCCAGGCAUGGUGGCCGGGAAGGCUGGAACACAGCCAGGGGGAGCAGCGCCUGCGCUAGCCCAAGGCAGGUCCACGGAGCCUGCUAAGAUCGCGCUCAGCCCCCAGGUAGGGGCAGCUCUCCUUUGGGUUUCAGAAGCUGCACCUCUGCUGCUGCGGGACUCGUCCUCCCUCCCAGGUCUCCUCUGACAUGAACCUGUGGCUCCGCUCUUGGCCUAUGGCCUUCUCUGCGCCUUCUUAUAGGAGCCUGUGGUCAUCACCCAGCACACUGGGGAUUCCUGUACUUUCGUCCUCAGGCUCAGCAGUCAUCUUUCUUGCCAGCAGCAUUUUCUUGUUGGAACCCAACUGUGAUAAGGGACAAAGCUGGGGUGAGGGAAGCUCCUCACCACCCCCCCCCCCCAGCCCCUCCGUCUCUCUCUCACACACACUAGCACACCCGUAACAGAUACAAGACUGCAACAAGACAAGGUACGUGUCUCAAGUUCUCAUGCUUUGGGCAUUCACAGUCCUCUCCACAAUGCUAAGUGUGUGUGUGUCCCUCUCUCCUAAUGCUCCCCACACCUGCGCCAUGCAUCUUGGGAAGAGAUGGCCCAGUAGUUAUGAUGGCUUCCUCUCUGCAAAGGUAGAAAAGUGGUGCUGCUUCUUGAAGAUGUGUCCCUGCAGUCCCAUGAUACAUAUCACAAGAGCACACAACCCUUAGCCCUUGGCUAGAUUUUGCCCCAUUUAUUUGUAUUUCUUAAUGGUAAAAGGUAGGACAGAAAAUCAGUCUUCUCGCAGGGCCCCACCAUCUAGAUGGGCACUGGGUCACCAAUGGACAAGGCAAGAUAAUGGCCAGUGAUUUAAUACAUGAAUGAUAACUUUAAAGAUACUUUCUAGAGAGGUCAAUGUGUACUGGUUAUGUACUAGUUAUAACUAUAUAUAACUAUAAAAUGUUAUGACUGGAGUACAAGAAUAUCAAUAAUUACCUACUGAAAGAAAAGAGACUUUAAAUUUGACUCUACAAAAGAAGACCUAACUAUAUGCUGUAAGCAAGAGACACAUCUAAAACAUCUUAAUAGGUGAUAGGGGAUGGGAACUGGCACAUGGGCUGGGGGUUUGCAUCAGAGAGCGCCUGUGUGGGCUUUCUUGUUGGCUUGCUUAGUCGUGGUAAGAUGGGCAAGGGGGAGGUGGGACUUUAAAGCUGCCAGCAGCCAAACUUCAAAACGUGUCAGAAGUGUGAUGGUGAAAACCUUGUGGAUUGCACUUCCUUUACCCAUUGUAUGGAUGGAUGAGUGGAAAAGUGGGGACAGGGACUAAAU